rnacentral:rRNA from 1 species
UACGUAGGGUGCAAGCGUUGUCCGGAAUUAUUGGGCGUAAAGAGCUCGUAGGCGGUCUGUCGCGUCGGAUGUGAAAAUCCAGGGCUCAACCCUGGACCUGCAUUCGAUACGGGCAGACUAGAGUUCGGUAGGGGAGACUGGAAUUCCUGGUGUAGCGGUGAAAUGCGCAGAUAUCCGAAAGAACACCGGAGGCGAAGGCGGCUUGCUGGGCGUGAUCUGACGCUGAGGCGCGAAAGCGUGGGGAGCGAACAGG